rnacentral:rRNA from 1 species
GACGAACGCUGGCGGCGUGCUUAACACAUGCAAGUCGAACGGAAAGGCCCUGCUUUUGUGGGGUGCUCGAGUGGCGAACGGGUGAGUAACACGUGAGUAACCUGCCCUUGACUUUGGGAUAACUUCAGGAAACUGGGGCUAAUACCGGAUAGGAGCUCCUGCUGCAUGGUGGGGGUUGGAAAGUUUCGGCGGUUGGUGAUGGACUCGCGGCUUAUCAGCUUGUUGGUGGGGUAGUGGCUUACCAAGGCUUUGACGGGUAGCCGGCCUGAGAGGGUGACCGGCCACAUUGGGACUGAGAUACGGCCCAGACUCCUACGGGAGGCAGCAGUGGGGAAUAUUGCACAAUGGGCGGAAGCCUGAUGCAGCAACGCCGCGGGCGGGAUGACGGCCUUCGGGUUGUAAACCGCUUUCGCCUGUGACGAAGCGUGAGUGACGGUAAUGGGUAAAGAAGCACCGGCUAACUACGUG